rnacentral:lncRNA from 1 species
UAAAAAUGGUGGCGCCGAAAAAUAUACUCGUAUCUUUGAAACGAAAAAACAUCUAAAUGUUUCAAAUAUCAAACAAAUAUACAACAUGUGUGUCGGAGACAAAAAGGGGGCAAGAGGACCAGGAUUUGAGAUGCAACAACUCUUGAAGCUUUGGAAGAUGAUGACUAUGUUUCGAGGUACAAAUUUUGUGAGGAUAAAGUCAC